rnacentral:misc_RNA from 1 species
AAGUCGUAACAAGGUCUCCGUAGGUGAACCUGCGGAGGGAUCAUUAACACGUGUCACCACGUAUCCCCAUACUCAUCAACCACGCGUGAACCCGAAACAACUCCCUUCACAGGACAGGACGAUUGAACAAUCAUCAGGGUGGAGUCUGACAACAGCGAAAAAGGCAUCGACCCUCGGUCUGGCGGACUAUGACUCGAUCUAGAGGCUCUUUGAGGCCUCAAUCCACUGUGAAGCGUAAUUGCGACCACCUGGCAGACUGCACCCGAAAGGUCACUGCAGCGUUCUGCCGAAUGUAUUAACCCACACACUUUAAAAUCCCUUUAACACAUAACACUAAACUGAACCUUAUUCAUGUGGGCUGUGCGUUUCGCCUUCUCCACCACUGAAUGAUAUACGUAAUGCUGAACAACUCUUAGCAAUGGAUAUCUUGGUUCUC